GCCAGGAACUAUUUAUAAACAUCCUGCAGGAAAAUGCAGUGAAGUAGAAGAGACAGGGAUAUCCCAGAAGGUUAUGCAAAACAUCAAGAGAAGAUGAGAGGUACUCUGUGAUGUCGUAAGGAUAAGAAAGAUCAAGGGAUCAGGAAAAUGAAGAUUUUAGCUUCAUUCAUCUUAACGAGGUUAACAGACAUGAUUUUCCCACUCUCCUUCAACACUCACAUAUCAAUUUCAUAUUUGUGGAAAGUUUUCACUUACAACACUCAGUAUAUACCACUUAGAAUUAUGAAAGUAUAUCCUGUAGGGCAGAUCCACAUGCAGAAGAAUGAAACUAGACCCCUAUCUCUCACCAUACACAAACAUCAAAUCAGAUGGAUUAAACACUUCAAUCUAAGACCUCUCACUAUGAAAUGACUAUGAGUAAACAUUGUAGAAUAUUCAUCUGGGAAAAAAUUUCUUGCCCCACAAGCACAGGCAACCAAAGUCAAAAUGGACAAAUGGGAUCACAUCAAGUUAAAAAGUUUCUGCACAGCAAAGGAAACUAUCAGUAAAACAUAGAGGCAACUCACAGAACUGGAAAAAAUAU
rnacentral:lncRNA from 1 species